AAGUUGGCUUCUAAUGAAGCCCAUUUUAGUAGGGACAUCUGAGAGUAAGGGUGAAUGUCAAUGGAGCUGACAAAAAAAU
ensembl:snoRNA